ACAAUGCAUUAAUUAGACCAACAAUGGCCAUACCUACAGCUGUUGAUAACGGUAAAAAAGUCACUAUUGUUGGAUGGAAUAAAUUCUGUGGACAUUAUUCAUUAUACCAUGCUUCGUUAACAAACAUGUGCCUUAUUUUUGGUGUUGUGCUUGAUUUAGCUAUGUGUACGAUCAUUUGGUCAUAGUGACCAAAUAGUAGUUUAAAAUAGCCUUAAUUAGUAGUACAAACUACAUGAAGUUUCAUUGAAGAUUUUUAAAUGUACUGAAAUAGCAUUUUAUCGCCUGUUUUGACCAGAAUCUAUCAGGAGUGCAAUCUGCGAUUAUGAGUAAUAUUGAAUUGGACUUUUGGGACAAAGUUGAUCCUAUAUUCAUAGCUGUAGUGAUUUUGGGCGCGACAAUAUUUAUAUCUAUAGGAUUAGGAUUGAUUAUCUGGGAAUUUUAUGUCCGUUAUAAAAGUGGCAUAUACAGAGUGCGUGAACGGAACGAUGGCCAGCAAGUCUAGUGGCGGUGGCAUCUUAUCUGACUGUAAUAAGGUUUAUUUUACAACAAAAGUGUGUAUAUGUAAUUAAUUUAUAGCAACAAUUAUUCUUGUGAUUUGAAAUAACUACUUAAUAUAUUUUUUCAAAAGCUA